rnacentral:rRNA from 1 species
UUGGGCGUAAGCGCGCGCAGGUGGUUUCUUAAGUCUGAUGUGAACGCCCCCCCCUUUAGGGGGAGGGUCAUUGGAAACUGGGAGACUUGAGUCCCUUUAAGAGAAGUGGAAUUCCAUGUGUAGCGGUGAAAUGCGUAAAGAUAUGGAGGACACCAGUGGCGAAGGCUACUUUCUGGUCUGUAACUGACGCUGAGGCGCGAAAGCGUGGGGAGCAAACAGGAUUAGAUACCCUGGUAGUCCACGCCGUAAACGAUGAGUGCUAAGUGUUAGAGGGUUUCCGCCCUUUAGUGCUGAAGUUAACGCAUUAAGCACUCCGCCUGGGGAGUACGGCCGCAAGGCUGAAACUCAAAGGAAUUGACGGGGGCCCGCACAAGCGGUGGAGCAUGUGGUUUAAUUCGAAUUUUUUUUUAAGAACCUUACCAGGUCUUGACUUCCUCUGACGGCCCUAGAGAUAGGGCUUCUCCUUCGGGAGCAGAGUGACAGGUGGUGCUUGGUUGUCGUCAGCUCGUGUCGUGAGAUGUUGGGUUAAGUCCCGCAACGAGCGCAACCCUUGAUCUUAGUUGCCAUCAUUAAGUUGGGCACUCUAAAGUGACUGCCGGUGAGAAAACGGAGGAAAGGGGGGAUGACGUCAAAUCCUCUUGUCCCUUAUGACCUGGGCUACACACGUGCUACAAUG